CGGCACUCAAAUGACUGCAUCCUGACUGCUGUGUGCUGUCUUCUGUGACACGGCCAUCCAUCCCGGCCACCCAUCCCGUACAGGGGCUUCUGCUGGAGUCAGAGUUGAGAGCUGGCCUCGGGGCGAUCCCUUGGAAACACGCUCGCCCCUCUCAGUCAGCUCCAGGAAGACCUGCACUUUCUUCUGUACCAGGCGUGUGCGAAGACGGAGUGGGGAAAAGCACACUUGAAAGAAGAGAUUUAAAUCUUCUGUGUGGGUCCCAGUUUCCAGGCGCUCACACGGCAGUUCACCUACUGAAGCAAACAUAUUUUGCAAACGGACAUGAUCUGGUUUCUGGGGACUGAUAACAAACACCGAAGGUCAAAUAGCAGCUCUAAUCAUUUCUGCAUGAACACUUUUCGGGCAAGUUUACAACUUAUCCAACGUUCAGCACUUUAGGUUUUGUUUUUGUUUUUUUCUCUUUUCUGGGCCAGCUUUGUCUUGCUUCUAUGAUGUUCUGUUUGAAAGGUCCCUUCUUGCUUCCCAACAGUUGUUUGGAAAUUUUCAACAUGUAAGUCAUGACCUUAUUAUUUUAUUUGGGAGGGAGGGAUCAAGUCGAGAAGCCAAAUUUAUACAAAUAAGGAGAGAAAUACAAAUAAGGACGUGAGAUUGGAGGAGUGGUCACACCCCAGUCUUGUUCGGCAGUUGAAGUUUCUUGUUAAUUUGGAUCUCUUGAAAUGAUAGUGGCUAUGCUUGCAGGUAUUUCUGAGACUCCAUUUAGAUUCCUUUAAAUGGAGGUGAAACGUUAAAAUAAAGCAGGACUGUCUCUCAAGAUGAAAAAAAAAAAAAAGAUCUACCGGCUAUUGUCCUCACUGCCUGAUUGACUAGUAGAAAACACAUCUCCAUGGGAACAGAUAAAUGUCUGCUUUUCACGCGGUGAAAAUAACCAGCUCAGCCUGUGCAGCUUCACCAACCUAGCACUUUAUUUGGACGGCUGUAAGCAGCCUCUCCCUUUUCAUGUUCAGCCAAAUUAUCUGCCAGAAUUUCUUUUCAAGUCUAGGGAGGGGAAAAAAAAAGAAUUCCCUCCCCCAUCCCCCCACCGCAUGGAGUUAAUUACUGUAUUUUCAUCUGGGAGGGUGGGAAAAAAUACACGCUGGGCUGAAACAGCACACAAAACAGCGGCUGGCGUAUGGAUCUGCCUGGUGUCUAUUAGCCGUUGGGGAUUUUUUUUAAGGCUGUGACCUACCUGGAGGUGGUGAGAGCCAGCAGCAGGUCGCAAUCAGCACUUUCUUCAUGGAAUGGAGCACACAGCACAUGGGAAGGAGAAACACGCUGUACCUCACAGUGACUCCUGUGCUGAACCGAGAAGUGCCAGGUGAGCCAGUAAGCGCUCCACCAGCGCGGCUUCUGAGUCGUCACUCCUGCCACAGUGCCAACGAACAAAGAGCAGUCAAGGAGCGCCUGAGAAGCACCGGCAUCCCCGCGGGCAUCUGCUGCGAGGGCUGGGCGAUCCGAUGUCCUCCAGCAUCUCUCAUGACAAUGGCAAUCACGGGCACUAAAGAGCAAAUGCUUUCCGCCUCCAGAUGCUCACAGACGUUGCCGGGGACCGAGACACGGGAACAAUCUAACAUCACCCGCUUUGUAUGCUCUGGAAGUGGUCUCAUUCAAAGGCAACUUCCUAUUUGUUGGAAUAAUUACAAGUUUGAUAAGUGCAAAUUAUCUGAGGAAUAAUUUCUGAGAAGAAUUAUGCGCAAGCCCU
ensembl:lncRNA